rnacentral:tRNA from 1 species
GACGGCGUGGCCUAGUGGUUAGGGCGCUGGAUUUGUAAUCAAGAGGUCCCAGAUUCAAAUCCUGCCCGCUGACA